rnacentral:snoRNA from 1 species
AUCUCAUUUGAUGAGAAAAAAAACUGCAACAAUAUGAGUCUAAGAUUUCAUGAUUCGUUGUAUUUAAGUCUCUGAUGAUU